UGACUAAUUGGGUAAACUAUUAUUGAAAGAAAGCACGUCCAUUAGACAACGAGAUUUGUCUAGAUAUUUUUGCGGAUUUCCGUAAUUUAAAUCUUGGAUACCAAUUAGACACAAAUUUUUUAUUCGUCUAGAUAAGAUGAAUGUACUUAGUUUGAAUCUAGGUAUCACUCAACACUAUAGAUUACAUUAUUGAUUAUAUAGCAUACAUUAUCCAAACAGGAAAAUGUGCAUGUUAAUCGCAAUCGUUGCCUAUUUAAAUUACGACAAAAAAAAAAACCAAAGCUAACGACACAGAUCGCGCUCGCGCCGAAACCGUUCGUAUUGUAUACCUAUUAUAUUAUAUUAUUACGUUACGCAGCAGCACGUGCGAUUGUGUAGACAGUAAGCUUUGCGACCAGUCCAAACGAUGACUCGGCCGAUGCAUCAAGACGCCGCCGCCGCCGCUGUUUUACGGAGGACUAUAAUGGUGCUGCUACUUUCGCUGUUGAUGUUCUCCUUGUCGUCGUUUCCAUCGGUCACCGCCGAGUGCCCGGACGGAUGCACGUGCAAACAAGAGGAUGGCGUCUACUGCCAUAAACUGGAACUGAAAAGGAUACCUGACCGCAUACCUCCGGUUACCGAACUGCUGGACUUGAGCUAUAACGAAAUCAGGGAUAUCGAAUCAUUAACUCAUUUGACAGAGAUACAGUUCUUGGACUUGAGCUAUAAUGAAAUCAGGGAUAUCGAAUCAUUAGCUAAUCUUACAGAGUUACAGUUCUUAGACUUGAAUCACAAUGAAAUCAGGGAUAUCGAAUCAUUAGCUCAUCUGAUAGAGUUAGAGACCUUAAUGUAAGCAUAAUUUCAGAAUGUUGAGCAACAAUAAUAUAAGUGAAGUGAAAAAUGGUGAAUUUGCAAACAUUUCGAAGCUUCAGACUUUGUACCUACUUGGAUAAUAAUAAAAUCAAGGAUAUCGAACCGGAAUCAUUUACUUAUCUUACAGAGUUAGAGACAUUGUGAGUUAUAAUAUACCUAAUAUAAAAACUUUUAAAUGCAUAAGCAUUAUUAAUUAAUAAUAAUCCAGAAUGUAAAUAUAU